UACGGAGGAUGCGAGCGUUAUCCGGAUUUAUUGGGUUUAAAGGGUGCGUAGGCGGCUUUUUAAGUCAGCGGUGAAAUUUUGCAGCUUAACUGUAACAGUGCCGUUGAUACUGCCAGGCUAGGAUUUGGUUGCUGUGGGUGGAAUGUGUGGUGUAGCGGUGAAAUGCUUAGAUAUCACACAGAAUAUCGAUUGCGAAGGCAGCUCACAAAGCCAAGAUUGACGCUGAGGCACGAAAGUGUGGGGAGUCAAACAGGA
rnacentral:rRNA from 1 species